CAGUCGCCGCGGUAAUACAGAGGGUGCAAGCGUUAAUCGGAAUUACUGGGCGUAAAGCGUGCGUAGGCGGUUUGUUAAGUCUGCUGUGAAAUCCCCGGGCUCAACCUGGGAAUGGCAGUGGAUACUGGCAAGCUAGAGUGUGUCAGAGGAUGGUGGAAUUCCCGGUGUAGCGGUGAAAUGCGUAGAGAUCGGGAGGAACAUCAGUGGCGAAGGCGGCCAUCUGGACUGAUACUGACACUGAGGUGCGAAAGCGUGGGGAGCAAACAGGAUUAGAUACCCCCGUAGUCCCUGUCUCUUAUAC
rnacentral:rRNA from 1 species